rnacentral:rRNA from 1 species
AAGGGCACCACAAGAACGCGUGGAGCAUGUGGCUUAAUUUGACUCAACGCGGGAAAUCUUACCGGGUCCGGACACACUGAGGAUUGACAGGCAAUAUUAUAAUUUUUUAAUUGAAAUAAAUUUUUAUUAAUUUAUUUUUUUUAUUUUUUAUAUGUUAAAUAUGCUAGUCCUUUCAUGAUUAUGUGAUAGGUGGUGCAUGGCCGUUCUUAGUUCGCGGAGUGAUCUGUCUGCUUAAUUGCGUUUCACUAUUGGGCUUAUAUAAUUACGUAUGUUGUUAACGCUUUGACCCCUUUCUACGGAUUGUGCGUGUCUUUGUCUCGUUUAACUCAUACAAUUAAGCCCUGAAAGCAACGAACGUGACCGCAACCUCUUGUUGCUCUCAUAUUACCUUAUACUGCAUAAUAUUUGAAUAAUUUAUUUUAUUUUUUUUUAUGUUUAAGAGAGCUUUCUAAACUAGAGGGACCGCUGUUACUUUCUUAAACCAGAGGAAGGUUGCGGCAAUAACAGGUCUGUGAUGCCCUUAGAUGUUCCGGGCUGCACACGUGCUACAAUGAUUAUUGCAGUGAGCAUCUCAUUUUUUACACAUCGCAUGCGCGAGUCCAUUUAUUCAGAUAUCUUUCAUUUACUUUCGGGUGAAUGUAGUGUUUGCUUUAAAUGUGUAUCUCUGCGCGCGAUAAAGCCUGCUUCGAAAGUAAGUGGGUAAUCAAUUAGAAGUAAUGAUUUCCUUUUUUUUUCUGCACACAUAUAUAUGGCACUUAUACCCGGGUAACCUUGUUGUUACUUUUGUGCGUAUACGUGAUAAUCUUUACCGAUUAUACUACCAUAUGUGCAAUUGUCAAUUCAUGGUGGGGACAGACCAUUGUUAAUUGUUGGUCUCGGUCUUAACUAGGAAUGCCUUGUACGGAUCUUUGGUUCAACAAACCAUCCGGAAUACGUCCCUGCCCUUUGUACACACCGCCCGUC